GACGAACGCUGGCGGCGUGCCUAAUACAUGCAAGUCGAACGCAGUGGGGACGGGUGAGUAACACGUGGGUAACCUCCCAUCAGAGGGGAUAACACUUGGAAAAAGGUGCUAAAACGAUACUGAUUGAUGGACCAGCGGUGCAUUAGCUCGUUGGUGAGGUAACGGCUGACCAAGGCCACGAUGCAUAGCCGACCUGUGAGGGUGAUCGGCAAAAGUGGGACUGAGACACGGCCCAGACUCCUACGGGAGGCAGCAGGAGGGAAUAUUCGGCAAUGGACGAAAGUCUGACAGAGCAACGCCGCGUGAGUGAAGAAGGUUUUCGGAUCGUAAAACUCUGUUGUGAGAGAAGCGGUAUCUAACCAGAAAGCCACGGCUAACUACGUGCCAGCAGCCGCGGUAAUUC
rnacentral:rRNA from 1 species